rnacentral:snoRNA from 1 species
UCCGCCCCUAGAGGCGUGGCUGCUGUGUCACAUGUGUGUCAGUAGGUGACAGAGGGGAGAGAGGCCAUGUCUGUCCUCAGAGUUCUGACCUAUGGACAGCUGAACGAUUAGUAGGCUAACAUU